rnacentral:rRNA from 1 species
GACGAACGCUGGCGGCGUGCUUAACACAUGCAAGUCGAACGAAGUGGCGAACGGGUGAGUAACGCGUAAUCAACCUGCCCUUCAGAGGGGGACAAAAGUUGGAAACGACUGCUAAUACCGCAUACUGAAGGAGGGGAUUGCGUCUGAUUAGCUAGUUGGAGGGGUAACGGCCAACCAAGGCGAUGAUCAGUAGCAGGUCUGAUAGGCUGAGCGGCCACAUUGGGACUGAGAAACUGCCCAGACUCCUACGGGAGGCAGCAGUGGGGAAUCUACCGAAAUGGACGAAAUUCUGACGGAGCAACGCCGCGUGAGUGAUGACGGCCUUCGGGUUUUAAAGCUCUGUUAAUCGGGACGCGGUACCGGAAUAGAACGCCACGGCUAACUACGUGCCAGCAGCAGCGGUAAUAC